rnacentral:tRNA from 1 species
GGUCUUAAAGUUAAAAUAAUAUUAAAUUGCAAAUUUAAUGAAGGUUGAAAUUAAAGCCUAAGGCUU